CACGUAGGGUGCGAGCGUUGUCCGGAAUUAUUGGGCGUAAAGAGCUCGUAGGCGGUGUGUCGCGUCGGCCGUGAAAACCUGCAGCUUAACUGUGGGCUUGCGGUCGAUACGGGCAUCACUGGAGUUCGGCAGGGGAGACUGGAAUUCCUGGUGUAGCGGUGAAAUGCGCAGAUAUCAGGAGGAACACCGGUGGCGAAGGCGGCAUCCUGGACCGAUAUUGACGCUGAGGCGCGAAAGCCAGGGGAGCAAACGGG
rnacentral:rRNA from 1 species